CCUACGGGUGGCAGCAGUGAGGAAUAUUGGUCAAUGGACGAGGGUCUGAACCAGCCAAGUAGCGUGAAGGAUGACUGCCCUAUGGGUUGUAAACUUCUUUUAUAUGGGAAUAAAAUGAUCCACGUGUGGGAUUUUGUAUGUACCAUAUGAAUAAGGAUCGGCUAACUCCGUGCCAGCAGCCGCGGUAAUACGGAGGAUCCGAGCGUUAUCCGGAUUUAUUGGGUUUAAAGGGAGCGUAGGUGGAUUGUUAAGUCAGUUGUGAAAGUUUGCGGCUCAACCGUAAAAUUGCAGUUGAAACUGGCAGUCUUGAGUACAGUAGAGGUGGGCGGAAUUCGUGGUGUAGCGGUGAAAUGCUUAGAUAUCACGAAGAACUCCGAUUGCGAAGGCAGUUCACUGGACUGCAACUGACACUGAGGCUCGAAAGUGUGGGUAUCAAACAGGAUUAGAUACCCUUGUAGUC
rnacentral:rRNA from 1 species